UCUUAGAGAUGAGCAAAGAAAGUGGUUUCUUGCAAUAGAAUCUACUCCUUGUUAAGAUGUUGUGAA
rnacentral:pre_miRNA from 1 species